rnacentral:rRNA from 1 species
AUUGAACGCUGGCGGCAGGCUUAACACAUGCAAGUCGAGCGAGCGGCGGACGGGUAAGUAAUGUCUGGGAAACUGCCUGAUGGAGGGGGAUAACUACUGGAAACGGUAGCUAAUACCGCAUACCAUCAGAUGUGCCCAGAUGGGAUUAGCUAGUAGGGGGGGUAAUGGCUCACCUAGGCGACGAUCCCUAGCUGGUCUGAGAGGAUGACCAGCCACACUGGAACUGAGACACGUUCCAGCCUCCGACGGGAGGCAGCAGGGGGGAAUAGUGCACAAUGGGCGCAAGCCUGAUGCAGCCAUGCCGCGUGUGUGAAGAAGGCCUUCGGGUUGUAAAGCACUUUCAGCGAGGAGGCGUGACUCGAAGAAGAAGCACCGGCUAACGCCGUGCCAGCAGCCGCGGUAAUAC